UUCUCUUGUAUAAGGGGUAUCCUUUUUAGAC
rnacentral:piRNA from 1 species